AUUGAACGCUGGCGGCGUGCCUAACACAUGCAAGUCGAGCGGUAACAGGUGUAGCAAUACAUGCUGACGAGCGGCGAACGGGUGAGUAAUGCUUCGGAAUCUGCCCAUGUAGUGGGGAGUAACCAGCCGAAAGGUUGGCUAAUACCGCAUACGACCCUUGCCCACAAGGCAAAGGUGAAAGCAGGGGAUCGCAAGACCUUGCGCUAUUGGAUGAGCCGAAGUCGGAUUAGCUAGUUGGUAGGGUAACGGCCUACCAAGGCGACGAUCCGUAGCUGGUCUGAGAGGACGACCAGCCACACUGGGACUGAGACACGGCCCAGACUCCUACGGGAGGCAGCAGUGGGGAAUAUUGGACAAUGGGGCAACCCUGAUCCAGCGACGCCGCGUGUGUGAAGAAGGCCUGCGGGUUGUAAAGCACUUUUAGUGGGGAUG
rnacentral:rRNA from 1 species